AAUCUAGGAGGCAGGUGCUCACUUGUCCUCCUCCAUGGUUGGAAAAUACAGGGGGGAGGCCAUAGUGGCAACUGUCACCAUGAUU
rfam:Macaca mulatta chromosome X, whole genome shotgun sequence.